GAGGGUAUAGCUCAAAUGGUAGAGCACAUGCGUAGUAUCUAUGAGGUCCUGGGUUCAAUCCCCAGUACUUCCU
rnacentral:tRNA from 1 species